rnacentral:rRNA from 1 species
UAAAGAAGGUGAAGAAAUGUUCCCGCUCGCAAGAGUCUGUUCACAGGUGCUGCAUGGCUGUCGUCCGCUCGUGUCGUGAGAUGUUGGGUUAAGUCCCGCAACGAGCGCAACCCUUACCUUUAGUUGCCAGCAUUUAGUUGGGCACUCUAAAGGGACUGCCUGCGUUAAGCAGGAGGAAGGUGGGGAUGACGUCAAGUCCUCAUGGCCCUUAUGUCUGGGGCUACACACGUGCUACAAUGGUGGUCACAGAGGGAAGCCAAGCCGCAAGGUGGAGCCAAUCCCUUAAAAGCCAUCUAAGUUCAGAUUGCUCUCUGCAACUCGAGAGCAUGAAGUUGGAAUCGCUAGUAAUCGCGGAUCAGAACGCCGCGGUGAAUACGUUCCCGGGCCUUGUACACACCGCCCGUCACACCAUGAAAGUUGGUCGUACCAGAAGUCGCUGUGCUAACCGCAAGGAAG